AGCAGUAGCCACGGGAAUACAGAGGGUGCAAGCGUUAAUCGGAAUUACUGGGCGUAAAGCGCGCGUAGGUGGUUCGCCAAGUUGGAUGUGAAAUCCCCGGGCUCAACCUGGGAACUGCAUCCAAAACUGGCGAGCUAGAGUAUGGUAGAGGGUGGUGGAAUUUCCUGUGUAGCGGUGAAAUGCGUAGAUAUAGGAAGGAACAUCAGUGGCGAAGGCGACCACCUGGACUGAUACUGACACUGAGGUGCGAAAGCGUGGGGAGCAGACAGGAUUAGAUACCCGAGUAGUCCCUGUCUCUUAUAC
rnacentral:rRNA from 1 species